GGACGAACGCUGGCGGCGUGCCUAACACAUGCAAGUCGAACGGACGAGGGGAGCUUGCUCCCCGAGUUAGUGGCGGACGGGUGAGUAACACGUGAGCAACCUGCCCUUCGAGGGGGACAACAGCUGGAAACGGCUGCUAAUACCGCAUGAUGUAUUCUGGAGGCAUCUCCGGGAUACCAAAGAUUUUAUCGCCGAAGGAUGGGCUCGCGUCUGAUUAGAUAGUUGGCGGGGUAACGGCCCACCAAGUCAACGAUCAGUAGCCGGACUGAGAGGUUGAACGGCCACAUUGGGACUGAGAUACGGCCCAGACUCCUACGGGAGGCAGCAGUGGGGAAUAUUGGGCAAUGGGGGCAAAACCCCCUGACCCAGCAACGCCGCGUGAAGGAAGAAGGCUUUCGGGUUGUAAACUUCUUUGACGAGGGACGAUAGUGACGGUACCUCGAAAACAAGCCACGGCUAACUACGUGCCAGCAGCAGC
rnacentral:rRNA from 1 species